GACGAAAGAGGGGGGCGUGCCUAAUACAUGCAAGUUGAGCGCUGACGGCUGGUACUUGUACCAACUGGAUGAGCAGCGAACGGGUGAGUAACGCGUGGGGAAUCUGCCUUUGAGCGGGGGACAACAUUCGGAAACGAAUGCUAAUACCGCAUAAAAACUUGAAACACAAGUUUUAAGUGUGAAAGAUGCAAUUGCAUCAUGCAAAGAUGAUCCCGCGUUGUAUUAGCGGGUUGGUGAGGUAAAGGCUCACCAAGGCGAUGAUACAUAGCCGACCUGAGAGGGUGACCGGCCACAUUGGAACUGAGACACGGCCCAGACUCCUCCGGGAGGAAGCAGUGGGGAAUCUUGCGCAAUGGGCGAAAGCUUGACGGAGCAACGCCGCGUGGGUGAUGAAGGUUUUCGGAUCGUAAACCUCUGUUGUUGGGGAGGAAGUAGUGGGAAGGGAAAUGUUCACGCAUUGACGGUACCUAACCAGAAAGCGACGGCUAACUACGUG
rnacentral:rRNA from 1 species